GUUGCAAUUGAUAAAAUAAUUCAGAUGAAAGAUCACCUUGUAAUCCAAUACAUUAUAUGGAGGAAGAAAGCUCAUCUGUGGUGCUCCAGAUAUUGAUAGCAGCUGGGGGAAGAGAUAAAAUCUUAAGGGCUUAGAAGGAACAAAACCAAUGUUGCAGGCUGGAGAGCUCUACACAGAAGAUUCAGAUAGGAGAAGGCUUACAUUGAACACAACACGUGUGCCAUUCAAAGCUUCAAUGGCCGCUCUAGCAUGUUCUUUGCUUCCAAAUUCCAGGAUAGCACAGGCUGCAGCUUUUUUGUUUAUAACAAAUCAAGGAUGUGAGCACUAAAACCAUUCAUAGUAUUUCAGAUAACAAAAACGAGACGAUCUAAACUUCAUUCUCCUUCACAUCCCUUGGAAGCAUGCCAAUGAAAAGCUUCUGCUCUGCGGCUGCGAGUCAGGCAGCAACCGUUUCAGAGUACAACAUCAGCAGGGUUGCAAGAGUGUCACAAGAAGAACAAUGUCCCAAGUUAUUUAGGAAUUAG